rnacentral:rRNA from 1 species
GUGGGGAAUUUUGGACAAUGGGCGAAAGCCUGAUCCAGCCAUGCCGCGUGCAGGAUGAAGGCCUUCGGGUUGUAAACUGCUUUUGUACGGAACGAAAAGACUCCUUCUAAUAAAGGGGGUCCAUGACGGUACCGUAAGAAUAAGCACAGGCUAACUACGUGCCCGCAGCCGCGGUAAUACGUAGGGUGCAAGCGUUAAUCGGAAUUACUGGUCGGAAAGCGUGCGCAGGCGGUUAUAUAAGACAGAUGUGAAAUCCCCGGGCUCAACCUGGGAACUGCAUUUGUGACUGUAUAGCUAGAGUGCGGUAGAGGGGGAUGGAAUUCCGCGUGUAGCAGUGAAAUGCGUAGAUAUGCGGAGGAACACCGAGGGCGAAGGCAAUCCCCUGGACCUGUACUGACGCUCAUGCACGAAAGCGUGGGGAGCAAACAGGAUUAGAUACCCGAGUAGUCC